CGUAGUUGGAUUUCUGGUACAAUGCGCCUGGCCCGCGGCAGCAAUGCCUGUGAGUGCCGGUGCGCGUUUGCCAUCCUUCUAGAAAACGUUUCUACCCUUUACUGGGCCGGACUCGCGAUCUAGAUCUUUUACUUUGAAAAAAUUAGAGUGUUCAAAGCAGGCUUUUGCUGUGAAUACAUUAGCAUGGAAUAAUAAUCUAGGACUUCGGUUUUAUUUUGUUUGGUUUCUUAACACUGAAGUAAUGA
rnacentral:rRNA from 1 species